rnacentral:rRNA from 1 species
UGGGGAAUUUUGGACAAUGGGCGAAAGCCUGAUCCAGCAAUGCCGCGUGUGUGAAGAAGGCCUUCGGGUUGUAAAGCACUUUUGUCCGGAAAGAAAUCCUUGGCUCUAAUACAGUCGGGGGAUGACGGUACCGGAAGAAUAAGCACCGGCUAACUACGUGCCAGCAGCCGCGGUAAUACGUAGGGUGCAAGCGUUAAUCGGAAUUACUGGGCGUAAAGCGUGCGCAGGCGGUUCGGAAAGAAAGGUGUGAAAUCCCAGGGCUUAACCUUGGAACUGCACUUUUAACUACCGAGCUAGAGUACGUCAGAGGGGGGUAGAAUUCCACGUGUAGCAGUGAAAUGCGUAGAGAUGUGGAGGAAUACCGAUGGCGAAGGCAGCCCCCUGGGAUGAUACUGACGCUCAUGCACGAAAGCGUGGGGGGAGCAAAACAGGAUUAGAUACCCUGGUAGUCCACGCCCUAAACGAUGUCAACUAGUUGUUGGGGAUUCAUUUCCUUAGUAACGUAGCUAACGCGUGAAGUUGACCGCCUGGGGAGUACGGUCGCAAGAUUAAAACUCAAAUGAAUUGACGGGGUCAUAGCUGUUUCCU